GCCGGGCGGGCGGGCUGCCGGUACCGCCCUGCGGCUGGAGACCGCCGCCGGGCCCGGAGUUCUGGCCGGCGUUCGGGCCGCCGGCCCCGAA
rnacentral:tRNA from 1 species